UACGAAGGGGGCUAGCGUUGCUCGGAAUCACUGGGCGUAAAGGGUGCGUAGGCGGGUUUUUAAGUCAGGGGUGAAAUCCUGGAGCUCAACUCCAGAACUGCCUUUGAUACUGAAGAUCUUGAGUCCGGGAGAGGUGAGUGGAACUGCGAGUGUAGAGGUGAAAUUCGUAGAUAUUGGGAAGAACACCGGUGGCGAAGGCGGCUCACUGGCGCGUAGCUGACGCUCAGGCGCGACAGCGUGGGGAUCAAACAGG
rnacentral:rRNA from 1 species